AACGGGUACAGAGGAUCAGGGUUCGGUCCUGGAGAGGUAGCCUGAGAGAUCGCUACUACUUCUAAGGAAGGCAGCAGGCGCGCAACGUUCCCAAUGGGGGCACCCUGAGGACGUGAAGGGACAUAUCAAUGCCCGGCCCUUAAAGCCGGGCAAUUGAAAUGGGGGACCUUUAAACCCCACACCGAGUAACAAUUGGAGGACAAGUCUGGUGCCAGCACCCGCGGUAAUUCCAGCUCCAAUAGCAUCUUGUUAAGUUGUUGCAGUUAAAACGCUCGUAGUCAAAGCCAGUGCGUCCCCUGGGCUCCUAGUACUGCGGUGCGCCCGCCUCGCCCCUAGCGGGGCCGAGGCGGGACCCGUGGGAGCGUUGUUCGGAGGCCACUAUUACGCUGGGGGAACCGGACGGGCGGGGCUUCAGUGUCCCGACCGCCCACCCUCGGCACUUUACUUUGAACAAACGUGAGCGCUCGAAGCAGGCCAUAUCGGCCCUUGAAACCCGCAGCAAAGAAUAAUGAAGCAGGAACCCCGCCUGCUCGUUGGUUAAGGUCGGGUUAAUGAUCUAUAGGGGCGAUCGGGGCGAGCCACAUGGCGGGGGUAGGGGUGAAAUCCGUUGAUCCUCGCCAGGUGAACUAAAGCGAAGGCAGCUCGCAAGUACGCUUUCUUUGAUCAAGAACGAAAGUCUGGGGAUCGAAGAUGAUCAGAUACCAUCGUAGUCCAGACCCUAAAUCAUGCCGGCCAUGGAUGGGCUCUCGUCCAUCCCGACCCAGCCCGCACUUUAUAGGAAACUAUAAGCGUUUGGGCUCCGGGGGGAGUAUGGUCGCAAGACUGAAACUUAAAGGAAUUGACGGAAGAGCACACAAGGAGUGGAGCCUGCGGCUUAAUUUGACCCAACACGGGGAAACUCACUAGGGCAAGAGGGGGGUAGGAUGGACAGCCGAUCAGGGCUUUCCUGAUUCCUCCAGUGGUGGUGCAUGGUCGUUCUUAGUUCGUGGAUUGAUUUGUCUGGUCUAUUCCGCUAACGAGCGAGAACCUACCCUCUCGUGGUUAGGCGCCUGGGCACGCCCUCUCCGCCUCGGCGGAGGGGGCUGAAAACGCCCUUGAGCUCGGUCCGGAGGGACCGUCUUCGACAAGGAGACGGCAGCGGGUCAAUAACAGGUCAGUGAUGCCCUUAGAUGCUCUAGGCCGCACGCGCGCUACAAUGUGGCAAGUAACGGGCCUCCCUGUGCCUAACGGCGGCGGGGAAUCCGUUUAAAGUGCCACGUAUCCGGGACAGCGCCGUGUAACUCGGCGCUCGAACAAGGAAUUUCUAGUAGUCAUGGGUCACCAGCCCGUGACGAUUCUGUCCCUGCUCUUUGUAC
rnacentral:rRNA from 1 species